rnacentral:tRNA from 1 species
GUUUGGAUAGCUUAAAUUUAAAGCUUAGCAUUGAAAUUGCUGUUAUGAAUAUUAUUUCUCUGGACA